rnacentral:piRNA from 1 species
AGAGGCCGAGAUGCGCGGCUGGAU